GGCCGCGUGGCCUAAUGGAUAAGACACCUGACUUCGGAUCAGGAGAUUGCAGGUUCGAGUCCUGCCGUGGUCG
rnacentral:tRNA from 1 species